rnacentral:snRNA from 1 species
AUUGCUUCUCAGCCUUUUGGCUAAGAUCGAGUAUAGUAUCCAUUCUUAUCAGCUUAAAUAUAGGAACAAAAUAAAGAUGAUCCUGAAGAACUUCUUUAGAGAAGCCAAAGUCUCAGAAUCUUCGUGUCCGCACUGUGGUAAAUUGAGAGGGUGAAACUAC